rnacentral:ncRNA from 1 species
UGUCUUCAGGGCAGGGUGUGAUUCCCGACCGGCGGUGACAGUCCGCUACUCCGUAAGGAUCGAACCGGUGAAAUUCCGAUACCGACAGUAAAGUCUGGAUGGAAGAAGAU